AUUUCCUAUUUCCCAAAAUUCUGUUUAUUCCCCCAAAGGUGCAGCAUUUAAAACUAUCUUUUAUCAUAUCCUCUAUACUACUGUAAAUAGUUGUAAUAUGUAAGCUUACAGAGAGAUGAAAUAUUUUAUAUUUUCAAAUUUUCUGAUCUCUUUUAUCCCUUUAUCAUAUGGUGACAUUCCUUUUCCCCUUUUCCUACAUUACUCAUAUUCCUUAUAGCCAUCCCCAUGGACGACUGAGACUACCCUUCAUAUUAUAUAUAACCUGUAUUGUUACGUUCUCCAUAUCUUGUUGUCUCCACCCAUCCAAAUAUUUACACUGCGCUUUUCUGUAUCAAAGCACCAAAGGGUCUUCAGGUUUCUGUUGUUUCCAUCUCCUAAACUGCCAUGGGAGAAGUCGAAGAAAGAUUGUUGGAUAUCACAAGUUGAGUAGCUUUGGAGAGCGCGUUAUUGACCUGUAGAUAGAUUAGACUCUCUUUAAUAGUUAUUGAGGGCCUGUGAGCCUAAGU